AGCUCAGGAAUCAAGGUUACAGUGAACUGUAACAAUACCACUGCACUCCAGUCUGGGUGACAGAGUGAUGCUUUGUUUCAACAACAACAACAAAAACAACAACAACAAAAGCCACACAUAGCCUUCUCUAUAUCCAUUUGUAAGUGAAAGUUCUUAAAAUCUUCAAACAAUGUAAUAGUCUUAAUUUUUUCCAUAGUAACACUUCAGUGUUUCAAGAUUUUCAGGUUGGAUCUGUUUUUGUGCAGUGGUUAUCAAACUUCAAGGUGCAUCAGAAUAACUGAUUGCUGAAGUUUCACAUUUAGUAGGGCUGGGUGGGACUCAAUUACAUUUUGAACAAGCUCCUGUGUUACUGAUGCUGCUGGUCUGUGGCCAUAUUUCAAGAAUAACUGUUACCAUAUUUGAUUCUUACAAGAACCCAGUGAGAUCUUGGACAGAAACAGAUAAGGAAAAUGAGGCUUGAAGACACUAAGAUUUUUUUCCAGCAACACAUUAUGAAUUAAUGGUUGAACAGGCACCGGAACCCCUGAAGACCUUUCCAGUUUUCUCCUUUCAUGGCAAGAGUUUAGUUCCCAGAAGACAUCUCUCUGAUUUCAAGUAUGUUUGAUAUUUUUAUCUUAUUCUUUUCAGAGCUAUUCAUGUGUUUGGAUACACACCCCUUAGUAUUCACAUUUAUUUAUAAUAUAUGCUUAAAAUUUUCUUGUCUUUCAGUUGCGUGACUAAUUUUUGUGCCUAGAGAUGUUCUGAAAAUGCAGUGUCUUUCUGUAGAAACAACAACCUUAUAUAACUUGUUGAGGCUACCCAAGGUCAAUCAUGAGAAAAUUGAGUUUUUUACCCACAAGCCUAGUCCUCUGGCAUUUUUUCACUCCAACUUGUGGUGAUGGUUCUAGGCAGGACCAUUAUUUGUGGGUCCAACAAAUGAGGAAUGAUCCAAGACAAGGAAUCUCAAAACUGUAUCACCAGACCCUAGCAGAAAGGCUCUGUACUGAUUUCAAGGAUAUUUUUAUAUUUUGCUGCUUCCAUGGAGAACUGAUAGUUGGUCUUUAGUUGGUACCAAACCAUUUAAACUCCUGUGUGUAAAACAGUGACAUACAGAAUGAACUGUGAGGUGCAUUUUCUCUGUCUUCCCCCUCAGUUUCUCUCUAACUACCUUAGAGUAUUCAGUAUGUGGGGCGUGUAGAAUAGUGUCUUAAACCCAGUGUCAGCCAGUCAUCACUGUUUACCUAUUGAAUGUUGCAUGGUAAGCUUUGCUAAUGCAGUGAGGAGAUGCUUUGUAUGUUUCUGAUACUGGCUUUUCUAGUUCCUGCUUUCCAUUUUCUCUUGCUUUCCUUCUGUUCUGCUUUGAUUUUGGUCCGUUGAAAUACCUUAAUCCAAAAUAGAAGUAGGGAAGAAAAAAUAAUAGCUGGAGAACAAGCUGAAAAUCUUGACCUCGACUAUCUUCUAUUAUUUAGUCUAAUUG